rnacentral:lncRNA from 1 species
CUCAAGCCACAACUGCAAUUCACUCUGCCUUGCUAGUGUCGACAAACCGAGAGAGCGUGAGAGAGGCCGAGCUGCAUUCUGCAGCCGAGAGGAAGAAAAGAAACCGCAGGAUUGAAUGUUUUUGGUUCUGUCCGUCAGUCGGAGUGAAACCAGGGAGAGCAAGUGGAAGUCGGAGGAGCUGCUGAUCAUCACCAUUUUCGUUCACUUCAGACCACCAUUUCCAGCUGCAAAUCGAACCAGGACCAACCAGUGUUCGUGAGAGCCGAGAGGGAGCAGAAAUUUUCCAGAAUUUUUGCGUGAAAGCUUAGCUUGCUGUGAGGUAAAUUUCUGGAUCGUUUAAGGACUGAUCAGAGGUAGUUUGAGCUAUCUAGAGGCAUGCAUGUACUAUGGUACAAUCGGAUGAAUGAGAUUAAGCCAUUAGAAAAUUUCUGUUUUGAAUGUUGAUGUUUCUGCUGAGAAGUUGAGCCGAUAAUGCAGUUUUAUUUUCAUUUUUCUGGGACAUCUGAACACCUAAGUGACUUUAGCUGGACGAAAACUUGAAGUCUAAUACCAUGCAUGUUGAUUUGUGCAUUCGGAUGAUGUGGUAUAGUAUACAAAAAUUCUGUUUUGGGGCUAAACAUUCUGCCGAGUAGCUAUUUUAGAAAUGUAGCAUUAUUUCUGAUUUCCUGCGACAAUUUGAGUUUGAUUUAGUGUUUAACUAAUUAAUUACAAUAAGGAUAAGUCAGCUAGGGACAUGCAUGUUGAUGUUAGGCACUCGAAUGGGAAUUUUAAGAACAGAAUUUCUGUUGUGCGCAAGAAAUUUAGACUUGCCGUGAGCUUAAACCAGAAACGCAGCUGUAAUUUUGGUUAAUUGAUACACCAGAGCUUGCGAAUAUGAUUAACUCACUAAUAAGAAGGUAAUUAAGUCUUGCAUGAGGCUAAGUAGCUCGGCUAACCAAGGAAAUAAAAUGAGAACAGAAAAUCUAUGCAUGCAACUUCAUCCAUGACUAAUUGAACAGAAUUUCUGGUUUUCUUGGAUGAUUAGGGCUGUGUUUGAAUCCGAUUUUGAACUAGAAAUAUUGAUUAGCAAGUUAAAUAUUUGCAUGUUAAUUUUAAGCACCUAAUACCAUGAAUUAACCGAGGGAAAAGUUGGAUUUAGGACCAAUCUAAUUGCUGGAAAUCUAUUGAGUUGGCCGAGAGUUUGUCUUAGUAAUGUAGCUUCAUUUGAUUCAAUUUCGUUGUUUUGAGUUUGCAACCAUGAAUAACUAGUUAAUAACAUGAUAAUUGAGCUUUGCAUGUGGUUAAUUGGUGGGUUUAGAUCAGAAAAAUAAAACGAAACUGAAUCUGCUACAUGCAUGUUUCAUCCGAGACUUGUUGGAUGUUUCUGGAAAUUUUUAGAUGAUUUUGUGUUGAUGAUUGAAGUUGUUUUCUGAACUAGAUAUGUUAAUCAGUUAGUUAAGUAGUUGCAUGUUAAAUUUGAGACCAUAAUACUCUGUUUUAGCCAAGGAAAAAGUUGUGAUAAGGACAUACAAUUGCUGGAAAAAUGAUAUCCUAACUGAUGACAGAUUUAUGAGGACUUCUUGGUGGAAUAACUUGCUGGAAUUAUUUACCAUUUGACUCAUUCCAUGUUGGACAAAACGCAUGUUAAGUGUUUAGUGUUUAAAGCAAGAUAAGGAUGGAAAUCUUGUUGAAAAUUAUGAAGUAUCUUUGCUGGAAAUCUGUACGUGGUUGCUAGCCGUACUAGCUCAAGCUUUUAAUGAGUUUAUUUUUCUGGAUUCGUGUAUUAUUUGCUUUAGCUUAAGUUGAGCAGGGUAUAAGCUAUAUGUUUAGUGCAUCUAGCAAGUAAAAGAUGGAGAUCUAAUAGACAUCUUGAAUUGACAUUUGCUAGAAUUUUUCUUGACUAUCGAAGCAAGAAAGGAAAAUAUGAACUUCUAGAAUUAUUUGAAUGCAAGCUAGCCGUGACUUAUCUUCUAUAUUUGAGUUAAAAUUUCUGUUGUUUGUGGCAAAGGAUGUUUGUUUGAUACCAAGAGCUAAUGAUUGAUGAAGCUCUUGGCCACUUAAGUAAUUUUUGCAAGGGUUAAAUUCUUGGUGGAAUUGUUUAAGUGGUUUGGCCAAAAUGCAUUUGGAAGGUCCACGAUUUGUGAUUUGGAAUUGUUUUAAUACUUUGGACUUCCUUUGGUUGAUUUUGAUUAGAAUUGAAUCUGUUGAGACCUAGGGCAAAUGAUUGAUGAAGCCCUAGAGAAAUUGAUAUUUGGUUUGUGAUUUUUGUUUAUCUUGGUGACUUGGGAAUCCAUUGUGCAAAUGAGCUGAAUUUGUGAAGACCGUUUUGAUUAUUCUUGAUCUUGAAUAUUUUCAAAAUCAAAUUUUGUGGAAAUAUUCUGCCUUAAUAUCAAGUGAUAGAAUUGAGUUUAGUAUAUUAUUAAAACUUAGUUAUUUGGACUUUUAAAACCUUGCAGACUAGUUAAUUCCUUUAUUUUGCUUAAGCUAGUUUAUUAUCUUUAGGGAGUAAUCGUAUUUAACCUUCUAAAUUUUAAGCUUUCCUAAAACUAUCCUUGACUAGACGUUUUAAAGGAAAUUCGUUAAAAACAUUAGAUUUGAAUAAUUUCAAAUAAAAGACAAAGAAAACUUGUUUGAAUUAAUUUGGUUCUAGUUUGCCCUCUAGAAGGGAAAUACCUUUAAAGAAACCAUACGAGAUAUUUUAUUUCUUUACUAGCCUUAAUUCCAAGGGAAUGAUUGAUUUGUUUCGAGAAAUUAAAUUAGUUUUAUACAGGAUAACCUUUUAUAUACAAAACAAGAACUUGUUUAGUAAAACUUAUAGUUUUAAAACUUGGAUUUCUAGGGUGUAGCGAGGACGUGGACUUCGAUUCCCAGCUUGACUUUUGAGCUUCACUUUUGGUGAGUGUCCCUGCCUGUUUUAUGACUAUUUGGUUAAAGUGCUUUAUCGACUCGUUAUGUGAUAAUUGCCAAAAAUGAUUGCUGAUCCAUCGAAGUGAGCAGUGUGUACCUUAUCACACUAGCCUUUCGAGUGGUGACUUGCUUGAAGUGUUUUUCGUGAAUAUCUUGCUUGCGUUUGCUAAGUGAUAAAUUACUAGGCAGGGGAAUGUACCACACCAUAAGGGUGGGAGGGUUUCUUAUCUUGUUAUAACAAUCAAGUGCUGGACGUAAAGUCGUUGGGUGAAUCCCUCGAUCAGUCUAUAACAAUUAAGUGCUAGACGUAAAGUCGUUGGGUGAAUCCCUCGAUCAGUCUAUAUGCUAGACGUAAAGUCGUUGGGUGAAUCCCUCGAUCAGUCUAUAACAAUUAAGUGCUGGACGUAAAGUCGUUGGGUGAAUCCCUCGAUCAGUCUAUAACAAUCAAGUGCUGGACGUAAAGUCGGUGGGUGAAUCCCUCGAUCAGUCUAUAACAAUCAAGUGCUAGACGUAAUGUCGUUGGGUGAAUCCCUCGACCAGUCUAUAAAUAUAAGUGUUGGAUGUAAUGUCGUUGGGUGAAUCCCUCGACCAGUCUAAGGUAUACUUGAGUAUUAUUGCUUCCCUAUUUAUUUACUUCAGUCGAAUCAAUACGUGUUAAUUGUUUCGAGUGAUUGCAUGAUUUUGGGGCACCACUGAGCUUUAGCUCACCCCACGUUUAUUUGUUUUCCUUGACAGGUCUUGAGGUUUGAGAAAUCUGAGCUGCUUAUAUCUUCUUAAGAAUGUAUCUACUUCGUUUUGUGACUUGUAAUGUAUUUGAAUUUAAACGAUAUAGUUUUGUUUUGGGAUUGAAGCUGGAGAUGUGUAAACCCUGAUUAUAAUAUUUGGCUUGUAUGUGUAUAUAUACUCGGGCUGUAUGAAAUUUCAUGUUUUGGAAACUGUAAGACCUUACUUCUUGAAUGUAACGCGUGAGGUGUUUGGGA